rnacentral:rRNA from 1 species
AGUUCGAUCAUGGCUCAGAUUGAACGCUGGCGGGAUGCUUUACACAUGCAAGUCGAACUGGCAGCACGGACUUCGGUCUGGUGGCGAGUGGCGAACGGGUGAGUAAUGUAUCGGAACGUGCCUGUGGCAGGGGAUAACUACCGCGAAAGCGUAGCUAAUACCGCAUACGCCCUUCGGGGGAAAGCGGGGACCUUCGGGCCUCGCUGUAGAGCGGCCGAUAUCGGAUUAGCUAGUUGGUGGGGUAACGGCUCACCAAAGGCGACGAUCCGUAGCUGUGAGAGGACGACCAGCCACACUGGGACUGAGACACGGCCCAGACUCCUACGGGAGGCAGCAGUGGGGAAUUUUGGACAAUGGGGAAACCCUGAUCCAGCCAUCCCGCGUGUGCGAUGAAGGCCUUCGGGUUGUAAAGCACUUUUGGCGGGAAAGAAACGGCACGGGAUAAUACCCCGUGCAACUGACGAAACACCUGCAGAAUAAGCACCGGCUAACUACGUGCCAGCAGCCGCGGUAAUACGUAGGGUGCAAGCGUUAAUCGGAAUUACUGGGCGUAAAGCGUGCGCAGGCGGUUCGGAAAGAAAGAUGUGAAAUCCCAGAGCUUAACUUUGGAACUGCAUUUUUAACUACCGAGCUAGAGUGUGUCAGAGGGAGGUGGAAUUCCGCGUGUAGCAGUGAAAUGCGUAGAUAUGCGGAGGAACACCGAUGGCGAAGGCAGCCUCCUGGGAUAACACUGACGUAUGCACGAAAGCGUGGGGAGCAAACAGGAUUAGAUACCCUGAGUAGUCCACGCCUAAACGAUGUCAACUAGCUGUUGGGGCCUUCGGGCCAUGGUAGCGCAGCUAACGCGUGAAGUUGACCGCCUGGGGAGAGUACGGUCGCAAGAUUAAAACUCAAAGGAAUUGACGGGGACCCGCACAAGCGGUGGAUGAUGUGGAUUAAUUCGAUGCAACGCGAAAAACCUUACCUACCCUUGACAUGUCUGGAAUCCCGAAGAGAUUUGGGAGUGCUCAUAAGAGAACCGGAACACAGGUGCUGCAUGGCUGUCGUCAGCUCGUGUCGUGAGAUGUUGGGUUAAGUCCCGCAACGAGCGCAACCCUUGUCAUUAGUUGCUACGAGGAGCACUCUAAUGAGACUGCCGGUGACAAACCGGAGGAGGUGGGGAUGACGUCAAGUCCUCAUGGCCCUUAUGGGUAGGGCUUCACACGUCAUACAAUGGUCGGGACAGAGGGUCGCCAACCCGCGAGGAAGGCCAAUCCCAGAAACCCGAUCGUAGUCCGGAUCGCAGUCUGCAACUCGACUGCGUGAAGUCGGAAUCGCUAGUAAUCGCGGAUCAGCAUGUCGCGGUGAAUACGUUCCCGGGUCUUGUACACACCGCCCGUCACACCAUGGGAGUGGGUUUUACCAGAAGUAGUUAGCCUAACCGUAGGAGGCGAUUACCACGGUAGGAUUCAUGACUGGGGUGAAGUCGUAACAAGGUAA